GCCGGCGUAGCUCAGCCUGGUAGAGCACGUGCCUCGUAAGCACGGGGUCGCGAGAUCGACGCUCGCCGCCGGCU
rnacentral:tRNA from 1 species